rnacentral:lncRNA from 1 species
CUUCCAAGCAACAACCCAAGAGCCUUACAAUGUUCUUGUGAUUGAUCUGAGAAAGAAUAAUCAUCUCCCGUACGAAUUCUUCACUUUGGUCCUCGGUGACUACCUUAGACCUCUUGAUGGCCACUUCCCUGCCAUCGUCUAGGUAUCCUUUGUAAACGGUGCCAUGGCCUCCUCGCCCAAGUUCUCGACUCUUGUCGAAAUUAUCUGUUGCUUUCUCUAUAUCCUCUUUGGUGUAUAUUUUGACAGUAUCAAUUUGCUUUGAUCUGAUUUCUUCGUAUAACCUCAAACCACCAUUUUGUUGGAAGAAUUUAUCUUUUUCUCUAAGAAGCUUCCUUCUUUGAAACGUUAAGAUUACGCAGAAGAUACAAGUAAUGAACGAAACAAGCCCAACACAACUGCCUGCACAAAGGGAUGAGUUUCAUAUCAAUUAUUUUGCAAACUCUUUCGGAGAUCGAAUUCCAAGUUUCCAAAAUAGUAGAUUGUUACUGACGAGGCCUAUUAAUGAAGAUCAAAAGGAUAAGAAAUUUCAAGCUUUUUUUAAAGUAGGAUGACUUGAUCGAAAUAAAAACUCGAAUCCGAAUAGAUUAUUUUUUUCUUCUGAUUCAAGUUUUAAGAGAAGGUUUAAGCUAAUACGGAAGGAAGGAUGAGAACUUGUACCUAUAACAAUCUUCGUUGAUGUCGGAAUUCCGUGAUCUUGGACGCAUGGUUCCGAUUUAGGGUCCUUGCUGCUGUGACCUUUUGGGCAAGAGCACCUGUAGUUGCCUGCUGUGUUGCUGCACGUUCCAUGACAUGGAUACUGCGUUGGUAAGCUGCACUCGUCGAUAUCUAAGGAUUGUCAAAGAAUCACGAGGGAAAAUUGUAAGACCACAUACAACAAUCGAAAAUAGGAGAGUUGGGGGAGAGAUGCAUGCUGACCUUUGCAUCCAUCUUGGAGGUAAGGAUUGCCAUGGAAACCUGUGGAGCAAUUGCAGAUAUAGCCAUCUAAACUGGUGGAGUCGAAACAUUUACUGUUGGUGCUGCGGCAUGCAUAUGAAGAAGGGUUUCUCUUAGCCUCCGCGCAGGUCUGUCUGCCGGCUACCCAGUCCAGCACGAGUGGGACGCCGUCCUUGUACUUGUCAUAAAAGUUGUAGUUGCGGAGGUAGGACUCGUCGAAGGCGAACCCGUCCUGGUCGGCAACGAAGGUAAAAGUGCAGGGGAUGUAGUCCCUGUAGGAUGAAGAAACAUUAAUGAAAUAGGCCAUCCCGGUCGUAAAAUUUUCCAGCUUCUCCGGGAUGGUGGUCUGGCAGCAGCCGGUGCCAGAGCACGAUCCGCUUGUGAUGUUUGCCCCUCCGAAGCAGAAGGAGGCGCACCCGGUUCCUAAUGAAUAGUUGUCCCCGCCUAUGACGAUGCCAAUGACGUUGCAGCCCAUGGUCGUGAACCUGUUCUUGGUGCUGGAUACCCAAAAUGGUUUGUCGCCAAGGUCUAGAGUAGGUCUUCGACCAGCCACCCAGUCGUUGGUACUGUUGAAACAAUCCCAGCUAACGUAAUUCAGGAUGCGUGCUUGGCCCUGCGGCAAGAUUAUCUCCUCAACUGUAAUGUUCCUCUCGCGGCCGACCAAGAAAGCUCUGGGAGUCGCAGAGCCGUUACCGACUUCGCAAGUGACCUCGAAGCCUUCCCUGAAACACCCAUCGCCGAUGCCGAAGGGGUACGGGAUGCUAAUACCGCCGCAUGUCUCAUUGCAACGGGGUGACACCACGUUCGGCGACGGUGGCGCCGAUGCUGCUGCAGUCGUUGCUGCUUGCAGCAGCGUCAACAACAACAACAGCUGAAACGCGAACAGUGGCAGCGUGGAUCCCAUUGCUUAUGCUUGCUUGAAAUUGAUGGUACCCUUCAGGCUUCCAUCAGAUUUAUAAGCCAACAGAUGGCGUAGCGUGCUUAAUUCCUUCUAAAAUCGAGUGGCAUAUAAUAAUUGCUUGAUCCAAUACUCGUUCUGCAGCCCAAGUGAAGACUUAUCAAGACGAAGCCAUGACACGGCAAAUACAAGAAGACCCUGUCGCUUGGAAAACUGGACAGUGACUUGUACAGAUCCCGUCUAAGUCUUCUUUUAAGAUUACAGAAAGUUGGAGCUGUGAUCGGUACAGGAGGCCUCCUCGCAGUUUGACUCUGGAAUCCACACCCAACCGAAGACUUGCUUGCUUAAUCCAAAUACAAAUAAGUAACGCCAAUUUUUCAGUAACAGCCCCCCUUCCUCUCUCUCUCUCUCUCUCUCUCUCUCUCUCUCUGUACACGAGGCGCUUCCGGCGUCAUUUGGCCGCUGAUUCCCUACGUGACUUGGGAUCAACGGUUGAAUAGUGAAGUACAAGGAGAGCAGCGACUGCGUGUUUGGAACUAAAUCUAGCAGCUUAUGGAGGGCUCGGUCUUUCUCCUGGUUUGGAUUUGUGUUCUUUCUUUAUGCCGAAAGGAAUCAGUUUGGAUAUGCAUGGGAUGUAAGCUUCUUGUUAUUUUUGUCUUGAUGUCAGCUUCAAGAUAAGAGCUGUAGAGGAGAAGAAUAGAGAAACUUCAAAUUAAUUUUUUUUUUAUUGAACAUCAUUGCUUAUAAUUUAACGUACCGUUGAAUAUUUAGAUUUUACUUAUUUAUUUUAUUUGGCUCUACCUCAUUUCCCCUUCCUUUUUCUUAUUAUUUGUAGAGUAUAAUAUUACAUUAGCAAUCUAUUUCCACUACAUUUGACUUCAACUACCACAAAAAACCUAUCUUAGAUGAGACUCUUAAAUCAAUAUCUUAUCUAACCAUAAAGUUUAAGAAAAUAUUCCAAUACUCCUUUCAAACUAGAGUUUUACAUAGAAAAAGAAAUAUAUGUAUUACAAUCCAUCAUACCAAUAGUCAAUGAUAAGAAGAAGGUACUUUAAGUGCCCUUAGAUUUUGUUUUAAUUAUGGCAACCUAAAACAUCAAUAGAGUGGGCCACAUGAUCGGUAUGAUGUCACGAUAGUAAUGUUCAAUGGUUCAGACGAUUCAUCACACUCAGACAACCUUAAUUAUUCUAUAAAUAAACUCCGGCUUAUUUAUGAUGGACAGACACUAUAGAAUCAUAUAUAAAAAAGCUCUUGAAACCCUAUGAAUUCUACAUUACUGUUCCCCAGCAUUACUAACUUAAAGCAUAUGCACGCCCUCCAUUUACAGACGAGGUCAGACUUGUCGAAGGAGAACCCUAAUGAAGUCAUAGGUGCGGGGGGUGUAGUCAUCGUAGGAAGAUAGAUCGACGAAAUAGGCCGACCAGGUCGUCAAAUAAUAGUCCGGUUUCGCCAGGAUGGUUGUCUUUUAGCAGCCGGUGCCAUGGCAGUGAAGAAUAUUUAUUGAAGAAAUGAAAAAUGCUUCAAUACAAGAAGAAGGAUUUCCCUCAACAGAAUAGAGGAUUUUUCUCAACAGAAUAGAGAGAUUUAUCUUAAAUAAUGGUUUACGAGCGAUGUAAAUAAUAGUUUACGAGCAAGAGGCUUUGUGAGGAUUAGUCACGGAGCCUCUUAGGAAUUUGGCUGCAGUGACGUUGGUCGCUGGCCGAAGGCAAGAGCGAAGCUUGCUUUUCUCAACAACGUCGAUUGCCUGGCCGAAGACAAGAGCAAAGCUUCGCUUUUUUCACUGCUCUAAUACCAUGAAAAAAAUAAUAGAAGAUAAGAACAAUUAUUGAAGAAGUGAAGAAUAUUUAUUGAAGAAAUAAAAAAUGCUUCAAUACAUUAAUAUUUCCCUCUCCUAUUUAUAGAGAUUGAGGAAGGAUAACGGUUUAAAUGAUCACGCGAUGUCAUUCAGGAUAUGUCCUUAUCUGUAAUGUUCCUCUUGCCGCCGCCCAAGAAAGCUCUGGGAGUUGCAGAGCCGUUAACCACAUCGCAAGUGACCUCGAAGCCUUCCCUGAAACACCCAUCGCCGAUGCCGAAGGGGUACGGGAUGCUAAUAACGCAGCAUGUCUCUUUGCAAUGUGGUAACAACUCGUUGGAAGCUGAAGCUGUGAUUGGUGUAGACCUUUCCGAAGACCCUAUGAAGUCUACAUCAUGACUCUUCCCCAGCAUUGCUAACUUAAAGCAUAUGCACGCCCUGCAUUUUUAUAUGAUCCCUGCCGAACCCUCACGCUCUCUUAUACCAAACUUAUGAUAGACUCAAAUGCAAACAAGGUUGACUUCCACAGACUGACAAUCGAACAAACAGGGAUUGUUAUUUGUUCCACAUCAAGUAGUGCUAUUUGUUCUAUUCCAACAACAACAGGUAGUGCAUUGAUCUCAUUUAUUAGAACCAAAAUGUUGGAUAACAUGUAUGUAUAAAUGUGGUUUACUUCCAUGCUAUUGAAUUUUGGAGUAAGAGAUGCCAAAUCUAUAUAUAUAUAUAUAAAUACUUGCCAAAGAUUGUUCCUAUUGAUGUUAACAUAUGUUUUUAAAUUCAUUAAUUAACUAUAAUUUUCUAUUAAAACCACAAAUUUUUCUUAUUUUCAAAUAUUUUAUUUUAUUGAUAAAUCCUAUGCAUACCUUUUAAAAAUUUUAUUAUAUGAAAAAUAUAAGUACUAAUAUGGAAUUAAUGCCCUGGCCGAUAACUCAACAACACGUAGGUGAUAAAUGAUAGACCCAUCGAUAGUUCGAGACUAUAUAUAUAAUGUGUGGCCGACAUCUUGACACCACAAAGGUGGCAAGCGUCAACACCAUGUUGACGACAAGUGGUUGACAUGCCGACAACCUAAGGUCACGUAGACAACACACGAUGGACACCUCGACAUUUGGACUAAGUUUGAAUAAUCAAUGUGUGUCUUGCAUUUGGCGCAUCAUGACACCAAGACCCUAAUUAUAUUUGAUGAUCUUGAAAGUAAUGAUCCUUAGAGUCCAUCGUAAAAGGGACUCCAUAAAAGGAACUCUCUUCAAGUGCUCAUCCAAACUAUCCGAGUCCAAAAUUGACUUGAGUAUCAGAGGAGCAUUCGUCAAGAAUAAUCUCGAUGUAAUUUUAUAAGUUUGACACCUAUAGAGUCAGUAAUAACUAGAAUUUAUGAUGAGACUAACAUGGGAAGGAGCAUCGGCUUUGAAUCCAUUUUAGAUCAAACAAUUAAAAAUUACACUAAUAGUUUGACGCUAGAAGGAAGGUUUGAGAUGUUUAAGAAAAACUUUACUACAUCAUCUCAACUAAAUCUUGAAGAUCCAAACCCGACUGAACUGAUCGAUAGUCAAACCUACUGCACCCGCCUUUCAAAUGCUCGAACCAUUGGUCUUCCAUCAAUUGUUCUACGAUUCGGUGGCUAUAUAUAUAUAAUUUUUUUUAUAAAAAUUAAAAACAAAAUUUAUUAUAUGAAAUGACGUAUAUAUUGCUCACACAUGGAUUCAAGUUUGAAAUCUAUUACAUGUACAAUAAUGUACUAAUCAACUCAGAUAUUUCAACAAAAAAUAAAAGAAUUAAUUAUAUUGCUUACUGUAAUAAGUAUGUAAAUAAUUUAAGAGAAUAUGUUAUUUAUAUAACAUGUGAGAUUUUUAAGGGGUUUGGAAAAAUUAUAGAUCAUACUAUUGUAUUUUACUCGUAUUGUAACAAUUUUUUUAUUUUUUUCAAACGAAAUUGGUCACCCCAAUUCUCUUUUUUUUGUAAAAAAAAACUCGAUCACCCUCUUUUAAAUAAAAAAGAGAGAAUAAAAAAUUGAUACAGUCAAAUCAAAUUGGCAAUUGAGAUUGAAAGCGGAAGUGUGAUGUAUGGUUUUUUGAGGAACCUUCGCCACCCAUAUAAAUAGGUAUUCAGAUUAUGCAUACCAAUGGACGUGAGGUUAACUUGGGAUCAACCGUUGAAUAGUCAACGACAAGGAUAGCCACUUCAAACUAAAUCUCUUGGCUUCAUUUACCUCUACAUUUAUCUCCUCCUCUCUUCUUCUUGUUAUUUCUAAAUUAGUAUUUCAUGAGCCAUCUAUUUUCACUACUUUGAUUUCAACUACCACAAAUAAUCUUAUCUUAAAUAGGACUCUUAAAUCAAUAUCAGAUCUAAUCAUAAAGCUUAAGUUAAUAUUCCAAUACUUCCUUUAAACUCGAGUUUUACAUAGAAAAAGAAAUACAAAUUACAAUACUGAGAGUUACAAUCCAUUAUAAAUUUAUUUAUCAUGCUUGUAAUAGAAGUAACAUAAGUUACAAAACAAGUAACCAAGAACAGUCUGUUCUGCUAGUUCGAUUUUAACAUAGAGAGAGAACAUAGUUUCUUUAUCUGCUUCAUCUUCCAGCUUUUACAUCAAAUCCCAAUUUGUUCUCUAAACUGUGGUACCCGACAGAAUCCAAGGUAGAGCUCAUAGAUGAUUCACCAAGCAAUGCUUCACAUUCCUCGGGUGCAUGGUGUGUUGAAGAGACCUGUAGGAACCCUCCUAACAUAUGCAGUUUCUCAGCCACUUCUCUCAUCGUAGGCCUUUCAUCCCCAUUCAUGUUCAAACAUUCCUUUGCAAGCUCGGCAAUUUCGUGGAUGACAUCCAUGUUUUCUUUUCCCAUGAUUUGAUCAUCCAAUAUCUCUUCAAGUCGGCUGUCUUUCAUUGCUUCGAUGAAGCUUGAAGCAAGAGCUUUUCCUUGAUUGCUCCCAUCAUAAUAAAUUGCCUUUUUCCUUGUGACGAGCUCCACCAAAACUACUCCAAAGCUAUAGACAUCACUCUUUGCUGUCAGUUGACGGACUAGCAAGUACUCUGGGUCCAAAUAACCAAGAGUUCCCUGGACCAUCGUUAUGAAUUGGGUUUCGUCUAUAGAUAUCAUCCUCGAUGCACCAAAAUCCGAUACCUUUGGCACGUAGUUAUGAUCUAGAAGUAUAUUGAGCGACUUCACAUCUCCAUGAACGAUCGGAGGGGAUGCUGAUGAAUGCAAGUAAGCGAGUGCUUCUGCAGAUUCUCUGGCUAUUCGUAGACGAGUAGUCAAGGGAAUUAGUUUCUCAUUAUUGUCAUGGAUGAAGUCGAAGAGGGUUCCAUUGGGUAUGAACUCAUAAACCAACAUGGGAAUUUCGACUUCCAAGCAACAACCCAAGAGCCUUACAAUAUUCUUGUGAUUGAUCUGAGAAAGAAUAAUCAUCUCCCGUACGAAUUCUUCACUUUGGUCCUCGGUGACUACCUUAGACCUCUUGAUGGCCACUUCCCUACCAUCGUCUAGGUAUCCUUUGUAAACGGUGCCAUGGCCUCCUCGCCCAAGUUCUCGACUCUUAUCGAAAUUAUCCGUUGCCUUCUCUAGAUCCUCUUUAGUGUAUAUUUUGACAGUGUCGAUUUUCUUUGAUCUGAUUUCUUCAUAUAACCUCAAGC